AAUAAUGAUGCUACAACCCAAUUGGGGGAUGGCUCGGCUCGAGAGCCGACGAAGGUCGUGACAAGCUGCGAUAAGUCGCGGGGAGAGGCAUGAAUCUCUUUGAUCCGCGAAUUGCCGAAUUGGACCUCCUGACAACAGUCAUUCCUCGUUUUAACAACGUAGGAAGGGGAACCCCCCGAACUGAAGCAUCUCAGUAGGGGGAGGAAAAGAAAUCAAUAGAAAUUCCGUGAGUAGUGGCGAAUGAAAACGGAAUAGGACAAACCGAAUCUCCUUGGGAAACCUUGGAGAGAUGUGGAGUAUGGACACUAGUAGCCUAAGUCCGGGAAGUAGAAGUCGUCCUGGAACGGCGCACCAGAGAGGGUGAAAGUCCCGUAUACGUGCCGGAUAUGGCCAUGUAGUGGAUCCUGAGUAGCGUGCGUUGGAUAUCGCGCGUGAAUAUGGGAGGCAGAGACUUCCAAUCCUAAAUACUACUCGAGACCGAUAGUUGACAAGUAGCGUGAGCGAAAGCUGAAAAGUAUCCUUAGCGGGAUGUGAAAAGAACCUGAAACCAAUUGGGAACAAGCUGAAUAGGCGUGAAAGCGAAGAUAUGAGCAGCGUCUAUUCGUGCGUUUCGAAAAAUGCCCCUGGGAGUUCUGAUCAUUGGCGAGGUUAAGCAGUAGAUCUGCGUAGCCGUAGGGAAACCGAAUAGUCCGCAGCCGCAAGGCGAGGGACUGGGUGUGCUCGCCCGGAGUCAAUGGUGGGAGACCUGAAGCCCGUCGAUCUAUGCCUGACCAGAUUGAAGCCCGACGAAAGUUGGGUGGAGGAUCAAACCGUUGCUGAUGUGCAAAUCGCUCGGAUGAGUUUGGUAUAGGGGUGAAAGUCCAAUCGAGAUGGGCAAUAGCAGGUUCCGCGCGAGACUACUCGUAGGUAGAUCUCUGUGAAGGUAGAAUGCGAUGUAGAGCACUGAUUGUAUGUUUAGGGGGAGCAAUCCCUCGGCACGCUGUCAAACUCCGAAGUUGUGUUCGCCGUAGAAGCAGGGAGUGAGCCACGGUGGGUAAGCGACCGUGACGAAAGGUGAAUAAACCAGCUCAGCGUUAAGGUCCCAAAAUUUCAGUUAAGUGUUAAUCACAAACGGCGUCCGUGGCCGAAGACAACCAGAAGGUGGGCUUAGAAGCAGCCAUCCUUGAAAGAGUUCGUAACAGAUCACUGGUCUAGCUUGCGGGCCGGGAAAAGGGACGGGGCUAAAAUCGGCUACCGAUACUUCAGACCAUCGAAAGAUGAUGUGGUAACGCGGCGUAGUGCUUGGGUGGAAGCAAGGCUGUGAAGUCUUGUGGACCGGGUACUAAUGAGAGUCUUGGGAAGAGUAGCAGCACAGUGUGGUGAGAAUCCGCACCACCGAAUGGGCCAGGGUUCCUCGGCACUGUUUAUCAGCCGAGGGUUAGCCGGUCCUAAGGUAGUUCUUAACCGAAACUAUCGAAAGGGAAUGACGUUAAUAUUCGUCAGCCCCCCUUGCAAUUAUGGUGACGGCUUGGGCAAAGUCAUAGAAUCAUAUUCAGGUUCUAUGAUACCAAAUUUCUGGAGAACUGUCAUAGUGAGAAAGAAAUGAAGUCCCAGGUCCCAUGAAAAGCCGCAAGGGGUGUCCGUACCUAGAACCGACACAGGUGUCCCAGGGUGAGUAGCCUAAGGUGUAUCGGAUACAAAUAUCGCGAGGGAACUCGGCAAAAUAGCUCCGUAACUUC
rnacentral:rRNA from 1 species